GUGAUCACUUUGGCAGCACAUCUACUAAAAUUGGAAUGAUACAGAGAAGAUUAGCAUGGCCCCUGUGCAAGGAUAACAUGCAAAUUCGUAAAGCAUUCCAUAUUUAA
ensembl:snRNA U6 U6 spliceosomal RNA